AACGAACGCUGGCGGCAGGCUUAACACAUGCAAGUCGAGCGCCCCGCAAGGGGAGCGGCAGACGGGUGAGUAACGCGUGGGAAUCUACCCAUCUCUACGGAAUAACGCAUGGAAACGUGUGCUAAUACCGUAUACGUCCUUCGGGAGAAAGAUUUAUCGGAGAUGGAUGAGCCCGCGUUGGAUUAGCUAGUUGGUGGGGUAAAGGCCUACCAAGGCGACGAUCCAUAGCUGGUCUGAGAGGAUGAUCAGCCACACUGGGACUGAGACACGGCCCAGACGCUUACGGGAGGAAGCAGUGGGGAAUAUUGGACAAUGGGCGCAAGCCUGAUCCAGCCAUGCCGCGUGAGUGAUGAAGGCCCUAGGGUUGUAAAGCUCUUUCACCGGUGAAGAUAAUGACGGUAACCGGAGAAGAAGCCCCGGCUAACUUCGUGCCAGCCGCCGCCGUAAAAC
rnacentral:rRNA from 1 species